AUGAACUGGACGGCCUCUUGCAUGUGUGGGCGUUUCAUCAAGUUCGCCAUGAUGUACUGCAGCUCCGAGGCCAUUGUUUCAGUUCGUGCACCAACGAACUCGGCGCACAAGCCCACGAUUUCUCCGUCGGCGAGCCAAUGCUGCCGCCUUCAAUUGCUACCGUUGUGGUCUUCCAGGACCCAGAGGGCGAUGAGCGUGUCCACAUACGCCGGCGGCUCGCUGUCAGUUUGUAAAAAUUCAGUUUCGUCAGUUUCGUCAAAAUUCAGUUUCGUCAGUACGGUCAGUAGUUCAGUUAGCUACUUUGUCAGUAGAUUCAGUUAG
rnacentral:rRNA from 1 species